CACCAGCGCCACGAGUGGCAAUCACGUUUAUUGGGCCUAAAGCGUCCGUAGCCUGUUUGAUAAGUCUUUUGUGAAAUCGUUGUGCUUAACAUAACGGUGUGCAAGAGAGACUGUUAAACUCGGAACCGGGAAGGGUCAGAGGUAUUCUAAGGGGAGCGGUAAAAUGCUAUAAUCCUUAGAGGACCACCUGUGGCGAAGGCGUCUGACUAGAACGGCUUCGACGGUGAGGGACGAAAGCUGAGGGAGCAAUCCGGAUUAGAUACCCCUGUA
rnacentral:rRNA from 1 species